ensembl:lncRNA
UUAGGCUUUACUGUAAAAAAAAAAAAAUCCUUUUCCAUUUACCUCUCUAUAUGCUAUAAAGCUCAUUUUUCUCUUUAACCACAUAUCUUAUUUGUAAUGAAGUAAAUUAUCAGGCCUUUAAUGUUGGCAUUAUGAGGUGUGUGUGUGUGACAGUAAGAUUUUUCUAAAGACAUCAACCAGAUGUCUUUAAAGAAGAAAAAAACACAAUUUCUCAAUUUCUUGCAAAACAUGAAGAAAGGUAUUUGAAGCUACUGACAAAACACAGCAUAUUCUGAAGCUGCUUAAAUGAUCAGCAGAAUAGUUUCUACUGAAAUUGGCUUCUGUCAGAAAUAUGCUUUCAGCCUUCAUCCACUAAGCUAAGAAUUAUUGCUGCUUAGACUGUCAGUUUUGAAGAUCUCAUUUCUCUGAAACUUGAAGCGUGUCUCUGAAUAGUAAGGAAUGGUCUCAUAGUGGGUUGGUGUUUAUAUACUACUUAAUAUUAUUUUUCAGUUUCCUGUUUUUGACACACUUGUGAGUUCACUGUGAAGAUGGGGAUUCUCUGUUAAAUUCUAGAAAGAAGUACUUAAAAUUAAAUGGAAAAAAAACCCCACAGUUAUUUAUAGUUUUCUGUUAUAUCCCUGCAGUGAAAUGUGAGCACAGUAGACAAUGACAUCCCCGACAAGCAAAGGUUUUUUUCCAGCUAGGAUAAACUUUUUUGAAUGAUGCUAUCCACAGCUUCAAUAUUAUUUCAGUUUAUCACAAACCACGGUAUUGUUUUUAAUUUUAUUACCAAAUCAUGAUGUAAAUUUGUUGUAGUAAGAAUCUAAGGCUGGAACUGAGCCUACAGACCCUUUUUCAAGUGAGAAAGUUAUGAGAUCCUGAACUGUAAUUCUGCAGAUCUGGUAGGAAAAUGGAUGCACUUCAACCACAACGCCUCUGGCAGGCUAAAAUUUAGUUUUGUAGUUCAUUAUACAGUUAAAAAAGGGGGGGGGGGGAGGGACACCUUGAAUAGACUAGAAAAAACCAUGAGUACCUGAUUUUACAUCUUCUGUACUGAAUUUCAGUGUAUUUUCCUCUUUUUACAAAAGGAGAUAAAAAACAUUGGCUAAUGCUCUGAAGACAAUCGGUGUAUAACUGAUAUACACUUAUCUGCAGAAAAUUUUUCUGGUGCUUAUUUAUCUAAACAAUCUCUCCUCACAGAAAUUUAUUUUUAUUCAGUAUUUCAUGCAAAGAAAGGACACUGGUUCUUCAGGAUGGGCAUUUGUGUGACUCUUGUUCCUAUGUACCUCAGAGAAGUGCAAAGGAACAUAGAUUCUAACAAGAUGCAAAAAGAUGCUCAGCCAAGAAGAGAUCUAAUUAAAAACUCACUGUGAAUAUGUCAGCAGUUUCUUGAAUUGCUCCCAAUCUUUCUUGUUGUGGAUGCAAAAUAAGAUUUAUAAACGAAGCCAAGGAGUGCUUAGAUAAACUGAAUAAUCUGGGGUCACCAUACUAGAAAAAAAAGAAGUAAAUAUUGCAAAAAAAAAAACCAAACCUUUGCAGAUCAACUGAUGAAGCUAGAAAGUAAAACAGAAAUGUUUUCAAAAUCCUGCAGUUUUGGAUAAAGAAAAUGGAUGAGAGAAGUAGGAGGAGGAAAAGGAGGUCCUGGAAGUUGGCACUAUAAAAAUAUGCCUCAGAACAUUGAAGAAUAUACAUAUUCCUCUCUCUGUGAAUCUUCCUUUGACAAAAUAGGCUGAAUACUGGAUGAGGUGAGCAAAUUGAAAAGCUGUAACUUUUUCAGUGAGCGCUGAUUAAAUCUGCUUACUGCUAAAGCACCAUAUACUCAGCUUCCAAUUUGCUUUUUAUACUGAAGAGCCAGCCCAUCUGGCACGCUCAAAGCUACAUCUGGAGAAACUUUUAUUCAAAGAAAUUCCAUACAGCUAUGCUAGAAACCACCCCUGCAGCUGCUGUUAUAAUGCAGAACGAACAUUUAAAAUAGACUACAAAAAAAGCCUAUGCUGAGUGACUAUUGGUUUCAUUUUUUGAAUUCUGAAUCAGGCAACAUUUGUGGCUUGCAAUCAGUUCUAAUAGUUUCGUCUUAUUGUUAGAUGUUGCUAUGAGAAACACCAGAUCAGUUACUUCAAAGGAAUAAUUUGAACAAUCCUUGCUAAAAAAUCUUUCUCUAAAAAAUUCUCAAACUCAACAAAUUUGUUCCAAUUAGACCAAUCACAGCACACUACUGUGUAGAAUAGCAGAAUUUUCCUGCAGAAAGAAAAGAUCAGCUGCUGAGCAAUGUGUGAAAAAAAAAUAUGGUAAUCUGUGUUCUAUUAUUAUUAUUAUUUUUACUGAAGCAAGCCAUGAUGUCUGUUAGGCUGCUAUAGACAUUCUUGAAAUAAAGUCAAUAACUGUACUUUCAUAAAAUCAAAAAAGCUACUUCCAUUCUUUUUUCAAGGAAAUGUUUGUAACAAGUGAUUGUUACUUCAGAUGCUCAAUUUAUCAAAGUAUGUGUGGUAGGGUGGCUAGCAGGCUAAUUUCUUUCUUCCUUUUAAAGAAGAAAAAUUAAAAAAAAUAAAUAAAAUACAGAUUAUUAUAGUAAUUCCUUAAGGGGAUAUGUGACAGUCUAAUUCUACUUUUACUUUGAUAACCAACUCUACAUCUUACCUUGCUCCAUGGUUCAGAUAAGAGUGAACAGCAUAAAAAUGGGUUAAACUGGUGUUUUGAAGUCUUAUUUGGAGAAGUGCUGUUUAUUUUCUGUGACACCAAAUAUGGUUUUGAUGACUUCUAGUUGAAAAUAGAUUAAACCUCAUUUGAGGCAUGGGAAUACAUUUUUACUGUACAUUUUUACCAGGAGGAAAAAGAAAAACAAGUAAAACUUGUUUUGCUAGCAUUCCUGUGUGAUUCUAACUCUGUCAUAACUAAAGUUAAACACAGUGUUCUGUAACAAAUGCAUUAGUUUUCCUUUUUUUCUGGAAACUUAAAAAGAACAUGCUCUUUAUUCAAAUCACCCCACUGAGUUGCUAAAUUAAAGUAGAAUUACUUCACCAGUUGCUGGCAGGCCAUUCAAUAUAAUGAUGGUUUACUGACCUCUCAUCCUGACACAAAUACUUUCCAGCUUUAGUGAGGAAAAAACAAAACCAGACAAGCCAAGAAAAAAAAAAAAAGAACAGGCAAUAUGAUAUGAUUUUCAAAGUCUGCCUAAUAGUUGGGCCUUGAUUCUACAUCAUUAAAGAGAAAGCUGAAUAUUAAUUUAAUUCAAGAGAUAAUAGAACCCUUAGCAGUGCAAACUGGUGGCCCCCUUUUAGGAUUUUUUUCAAAAGAGAAAGACUUAUUAUUUUUUGAAAGCAAGCAGCAAAAAUUCUCUUUCUGUGCCUUGAAGCAGAGCAAAUAUUCUAUGACAUCAUAAAUAAAACACUUCCUGCCAGCAAAAGCAGAGGAGAGGAAUCUCCGAUUAUUGGUGCCCAUGAAACACCUGCCAAAUUCCUAAGAGUGUAGGAGGGCUCAGGCAGUUGCACAAAACAGCCUUAUCCGAAUCCUUCUGAAAACAGUGCAGGUCCUGCCAUUGCCUUCCAUGAGCUUUAGUUUAGUACUGUAAUCAUUAUCCUUAGAUGUAAUCCAAACAUGUUUGCCAGAGUUUUUGUCUGUAAAGUUUUUCUGUUCAUUUUGUUAAUAUUUGCAACCUCCAGCACGUAAAAUGUAACAAAGAUCUCUGUUAAUAAUGGUAAAAGAAAGAACUUAUGGCUAACAAAGCAAAUAUAAUUUUAUGAAAAUUUUCCACAAUGGAAAUGCCCCUUCUAGCACAUCAAAAAUCUGCACAAUGUAUUCAAGACCCUUCUCUUGUUCAUGGCAAUAGCUCAGUGUAUCUGAGGUAACCCAUUGCCUUCAACUUGCAUCAGCAUGAGAUUGCUCAUAGCACCAAAACAUGAGCGAACCAGUAACGAAGCAACACAAAUAUAGUGUUUACAUAUCACGUAGGAAAGAAUAAUAAUCACAGAAUCAUAAUUGUACUUGAUUUCAGUAUCAAUUAUGCAAUUCACCUAAUUUGGUCAAAGGAAGACCAAAUUAUUGCAUAUGUUCCUCUUUAUCUUUUCUGUCUGUAUCACUAUUCAUGGCUAACUGGGUGGAAAAUUACAGUAUUUUUAUGGAAAGGCUAUAGAAAAAAAAUACAUAGAUACUCACUGAUACUGGUCUACUGUGCUGAUGUGCAAAGGUGGUCAAGCUGUUGUAAUGAUCUCUGUCUUUUUUGUUUUGAGGCUGUAAGAAACAAUCAGGAAUGAUUCUCAGUUUUGAAGACUUAUUCUCCUUAUUAUAUACCUUCAUCUUCCAUGAAAAAAUUCUGAAAGUAUUUUCCAGGCAUUCAAACAAAAACUAAAUGCAGUCUAUUGAAUUAUAUAAAACUGAUUCCAUUAAUUAUUAUCUAAGAUAUCACAGGAUUUAAUUAUAAUGCUGAGAUUUUUUUAAAUGCAGCUUUUCAACAAAUUUUGGUAAAAAAAAAAUCCAUUCCUAAUCAUUUGUUUUUAAAUUUUAUUUUGAAUUCUUUGAUUUGGAUCUGGACUGGAACUGAAUUUUAAAUUCAUACCUGAACUGUCAAUUCAAAUGCUGCUUUAAGCCAGCUUUACUAGGGGUCUGACUGAGACAUACUGUAGCUCUCUACAAUAGUGAAGGAUAAAGCAGUCUAUUAUCCUUCAGUAUAAAUAGUUUAAAUUACUUAUUUCAUUAAGAAAAAGGGAAGUCUACAGGUUUAGCUUAUAACAAUAAAUCUAUAGAUAGAUAACACUAGGAACAACUUUAGAAUUACUUAUUUAAGAAUUUCUGAAUUUUGAACAUUUUCAUUAUCCAAGAUGGUAAUGCAGAUUUAAGGUAGGAGAUUGAUAGUGAGUGAUCUUGUACACCUUGAAGGAUGUAUAUAUAACUUCUGCAUUUCAUUUGCUGAUUUACAAACAACACUGAAUUAUUAAUGUGUGUACCUCUGACUUCACAUUUUCCUAGCUGAAAACAGAGCAAAGAAACAUUCAACUUGGUCCCGUUCAGAAGUAAAUAAAGUGUUUCUGCCUUCUGUGUUCCUAUUACUAAGAAGCAUUAAAUUUUCUUCUUGACUCAUGAGAGUUACCUAAUAUAUAUAUUCUUGUUUAGAGCAUUAGCUCACUUUCUAAACCCUUGGCAUUUGGGCCAGUCUAUAACUGGUACCUCAGUGGCAGCUAUUUUAAUCUUUCCUAUGAUCACUUGUUCACUACCUGGUUAAUUUAAGGAGCUCUUUCUCUCAUUUUACUCAUGUGAUGCAAGUGGAAGAAGUAUUGCUCCAGGAACUCCUUACCAUUAUCUUAAUUCUGUGAAUGGCAACUCAGCUCAGUGAAGAGAAGCAUAGCUGUGUUCCAAUGCACUCUGUGAUAUUAGUUUGUACAUACAAAUACAUAUAUAAAAAGUCCCUUCCUAAUUUGUUGUACUCAAGCACAUGCUAUUUUAGGCAGACCUAUUUUCAAACCAGGCCUGAGGGAGUUAGUUGUCUAAAUUAAAUUCAGUUUGACUGAUUUGGACAUUGAACAUCUCUGAAAUAAAAUCUUAGUGAUGGACACUGCUAUUCAGCAGUGCAAAUGUUGUUUUGUUUUUAAUAAGAUGAUCAUAUAAUAGAACUGCUAAUACAAAUACAGAAAUUGAAGACUAAGUAAUAAUUUAGGAAAUUAACGUGGAAUAUUUAUACACUGAAAGUGAAAUAGCUCUAAUGUUGUUUUGAGCUUCUUUGAUUUGAAGAUGAUAUAAGCACUUCCAAUAAAAAUAUUAUAGUCUUGUUGAUCUCAAUAUAUACAUAUUUUAUUGAGUGACAAACAAGUUUUUCAUCAAAGAUGGUUCUCUCAUGAAAGAGAGUUUAUAUUUUUAAUGCUUGAAUUUUGAUGGUAGAGAUUAUAUGUUGAAAACCAAUAGCAUUGAACAUGAUCCAUGUUAGACUUCUGGUCAUUGCUCAGACUGGUAUUAUACAGCAAUGUUUCUGGACAGAAGUGUGAAAAGUAGGCUGCGAGCAAGAAUUGGGGGGUCUAUUCCCAAAUUCUCACUUAUUUAUUAUAAACAGUUGAGCAAAAUGACAUGAGCAUUUUGAAUCCAAGUUGAGUCAUCUCUCAAAUGAGUUUAAAAAAAAAAAGCCAACAGGAUAAUGAAGCACAGUAGUGCUUAUGAACUCUUUUGGGAUUGUCAUGUUAAAGGUGCCAUAAAAUUGUACUAUUACAUUUUAUAUAAUAAGUUAUAGGGUAAGUACUAAUGUGCUUUACAUAGCAUUAGGGAUGACAUAUAUAAACAUAAACUAUAAAAUCAGAAAGUUUACAGCAAAUAGAACUGAUUCCAAAAUAACUGAACUGUUGAAUAUCAGUACUAUUAUCAUCACUGAACUGACAAUUGCAGCCUGAGGAAGAUGGCAGAGUUAAAUAAAUGUCUCUCUGCCUGCUGCCUGCUAUGUUAUGCAGAGUCUGUUUUCAAAUGCUCUUUAAAGAACACAGUCUGGAAGGGGCUCAAGCAUUGAAAAGCAAAGAGGGAAACAAUUCCAAACAAGGCUGCCUGUGUGCCGCUCUGUUUCUGGUAUCUCCCUUUGAAGGUUUACACUGAAGUACUCUUUGUCUCACAGGCUACUUCAGAUGAAUAUCAUUUAUGGAAAGAGCUAUAAACAAAAGGCAAAUGUCUUGAAUGCUUUUCAGCGUUGAGGAGAAGUGUUAUUACGAAAGACUGACACUGCCCACCCUGGCAAGGCCAGCCCAGCUCUGGUUAUCAUUAUAUUUCAGACCAGAAUAUUAGAAAAUAACUACAAGAUUGUCAUCUUUAUACAAAUCUGUUGUGCAUCCAAAAAAUCAAUACUGAAAAAAAGUCAAAAUCUCUGUAAUACCACUCUUUCAACAGUCUAAAUCCAUCCAGAUCAGUUACCCAAAACAGCAUGUAAAACUUGGAAUUGAGAGAAAAUGUACAUUUGAAAGGGUUAGGGAAGAUAACCACUUGUGAUCUGUAUGUCCUUGAUGUAUUAGAAUGUGUACUACAAAUAGUCAAAGUGAUAACAUGAGAACCUUGAAAAGUGACCUCAAAAUUGGCAUCUAUGCCCUUCACGCAUGCAAGCCAAACAGUCACACAUGUAUAAGUGCUAGAACAUCCUUUGAAAUGAAUUGAAAUAUAAGGUGGGUGAAAUUGCCAGCAUGUUCUACCUAGAUGUGCACUGUUAAUUUUCUCUUACUUCAAGAGAAUUAAAACUGCAUAAGCCCUGGAAGUUCUGGGAGCUGGUUUACCUGUGUGAUCCUUUCUCAUCAGCAAUGUUAAUUGUGAAAAUCAGGACCCUCCUUUUAAUGUCAUCUGCAACUGUCUUUUGGAAAAGACAAUAAAAGUCUUUAAGAAAGUUGCCACCUCUGGGAAUGGUUGCUCACAGGACUUCUGUGCUCUAGAGCAGAGUCCCAUCUAUUUUUUAAUUUUUUUACACUCUUUCUUCAAUCGACCUAACAAUAAAAGGACAGUCUGACUGAAGAAUCUUUUCUGGCUGCAGUAAGAGCAGUAGCUUUUCUUAUCCUUUUAAGGAAGUACUCUCUGUGUUCUUUAAGAUUUGUAAAUAGCUCUAGGAAAUUAAAGCACUUAAAAUUCUCAAGUGGAUAACUCAAAUGAUCAGUUGCAGUUAGCUGGGAAAAGAGCUGCCUGUAAAUCUGUAGCUAACAUUUAUAUGGCAUUGCAGUCAUUAAGUAUUGCUGACCUUAUCAGUGGCACUGGUGAAUUUGACUUCAAAUUAUGUGUCAUUUUGAAAUGUUUAUCACUGUCCUUUCACUGGAGAUUCAGUGCAGCUGUAGAGUCCCGGCAGUGUUACCAUUCUAAUCCAGGCUUUGUCCGUAUUGAUGUAUUAGCCUGAAGCCCAAACUCUGAUGAGCACAGAGGCUAUAUAAGGAUUGCUGCUGCUCUUCCAGCGAGGGCUAGACACAGAGGAGGACUUGUACCCAGGUCCUGAACAUAGGAGUUGUGUUCAUGCCAACAGUUAGGGCUAUACAGAGCAGUCAAUACGAGCCCUCUUCUGACUACAGUGCAGACAGAGCCAAUGGCUGAUUGCCUCAUUGCUGCAGCUUUGCUCAAAUGGAACAGAAACCAAAGGAGGAAGCUGCUAACUGAUGAUGAAGGGGGCAACCCCAGUUGUAAAAGCAACAAAACAAACAGCAAAUCAUGCAAGCCUGCUAUUGCCUAUCACAUGAUGGGUUGGGAAAGUCAAAUACUGCUGGUAAGGGGUUUUAUUUUCCUUCUAUUUGUUUUCCUUUUAUAAAUUUGCCAUCCACAAAACUUACAUGGCCUUCCUGUCUCUGGUCAUUUGAAAUAGCCUUUUAAAAUAUGCAUGAAACUACUAGCAGCACUUUCAUAAUCCAAUGAAAUACUGAGCAGAAAUCAUUCUGUAGAAGUAUUCUCUUCUCCCCAGACACUGCAUGUAAUGGAUCUGCUUGAACUGGAUCACCAAUGUGCGCAGGAAAAUUAAAGAAUACGGGCUUGCCUUUACUUCUCUGUCACCCUGUCUGCAACAGGGUCCUCUAUGUCCAGUACCUUUUGUGUUUUUUGAGCUCUGACAUCAGGUGUAGAACAGAUUCAAACACUUUAGAGCAGCAACUGAGGUCAGAACACUGAGUCUUGUCUAAGCACUUAUGCUGUGUUGCUUUUACGUACUAAAGUUAGCUCUAUUCUCUUUUCUCUUAUAUUUCAAUUUGCUGUUGUGCAUUGAUACUUGACUUUGUCUUUCUGCAAGGAAAAAUAUUUUCAGCAGUUAUUUCAUGUCCUUUCAGUACAGUCCUUCUCCUAAGGAGCAGAAGGAAAAUGUUUGGAGAUUUUUCAAACACAAAGGAUUCGCCAUGCACCCUGUAUUGCUUUGAAAAAUCACGUGUGUGAUAAAAAGGUCAGGGAGGGAACACCUGCAGGUGGAAGAAAGAAAUAUUUGCAUCACUGACAGAGCUUUCUCUGCAACUGGAGUGGCCAAAUCUUUGGGAGCUGAACCCCUCUUCGGGAAAACAAAACUUAUCCUGUCAUCAACCCAUACAAAUGUGAUGUAUGCUGUUUGGCAUACUUAACUACAUAAAUCUUUCAUGGAAGUGUCCCUCUUCACUUCAUAAUAUCACAGCAGCCUAUCAAUUUCCUAUCUUCCCAUACUUGUUGAAGGGUGUAUUACAACUAUGCAGACUGAUUUUUAAAAACUUAAGGUAGAGGCCAAACAGUGCUGCAUUUAUCCACUUGUCUUCCAAAUCCAAACUGAACUAUUUUUCGCUGCGCUGGUGACCUCAAACAAGAAUAAGGAAAGUAUUUCAAAUUAAAAAAAAAUUGUAUUAGUAUGGAUAGAAUAGACAUAGGAAAAAACAUCAAUAUCUAAAUCAGAGCAGGUUUCACAUAAGCUACACAAAUUUUUUGCACUUCCAUUAACAUUUGUGAUCCAUUAAUAUUACCAGUGUUAUCUGAGCUGCUAUCUUCAGUGAGUGAAAUAGCUACAAUUACUGCCUUAGUCAUUGCAGCACCCCAACAGACUGAUCUUUUACAAGAACGAUGGCAGUAGUAGUCAUUCAGGACAAAAUUAUAACACCGAGGAAAACAUUAGCUUCAUUCUAUCUAAUUUCCAGUCUGCAUUUCAUUCAUUGAGACUAUUUUCUUCUUCAUUUUUCUGGCUCUUCCACCCUUGAUUGUAUUUUCCUGUAAACUGCUAAAUAUCAGUCAUUUUUAAUUCCAGAGCAAAAUCAGGGAAGUUUGUGAGUGGCAUUUAUCAUAAGGAUAUCAUAAGGAUAGGAUACAGACACACAAUGCCCACUUUUGAAGAAUAUUAAACAACAUUAAACACACAAAAAGUUCUGCUCUACAAUUUCUCUGCCGAUAUUGGAUGUUCAGUGUUGUUCAAAAUUUAAAUGUUAAUGAGAUACUUCUUUUUUUUCCCCCCAACAGGGCUGAAGUAAUGACUGAAGUUAUAGCAGUUUCAAAGUUCGGUGGUAUCUGAUCAGUCUAAACAAUGAUAUGAAAAUGACCAAUGCAGAUUCUGAGAAGCAUAUGUCUUCU